rnacentral:rRNA from 1 species
GACGAACGCUGGCGGCGUGCCUAAUACAUGCAAGUCGAGCGAGCGGAACUAACAGAUUUACCUCGGUAAUGACGUUAGGAAAGCGAGCGGCGGAUGGGUGAGUAACACGUGGGGAACCUGCCCCAUAGUCUGGGAUACCACUUGGAAACAGGUGCUAAUACCGGAUAAGAAAGCAGAUCGCAUGAUCAGCUUUUAAAAGGCGGCGUAAGCUGUCGCUAUGGGAUGGCCCCGCGGUGCGUUAGCUAGUUGGUAAGGUAAAGGCUUACCAAGGCGAUGAUGCAUAGCCGAGUUGAGAGACUGAUCGGCCACAUUGGGACUGAGACACGGCCCAAACUCCUACGGGAGGCAGCAGUAGGGAAUCUUCCACAAUGGACGCAAGUCUGAUGGAGCAACGCCGCGUGAGUGAAGAAGGUUUUCGGAUCGUAAAGCUCUGUUGUUGGUGAAGAAGGAUAGAGGUAGUAACUGGCCUUUAUUUGACGGUAAUCAACCAGAAAGUCACGGCUAACUACGUG